CUUGGUACUUUAGGCAGCUGGGCAACACCUCUUCCCAUUCCGAACAGAGAAGUUAAACCAGCCAGCGUUGAUGGUAGUUGGGGCUUAAGCCUCAGCGAGAGUAGACGGGUGCCAAGA
rnacentral:rRNA from 1 species